rnacentral:rRNA from 1 species
GAUGAACGCUAGCGGGAGGCUUAACACAUGCAAGUCGAGGGGCAUCACGAGGUAGCAAUACUUUGGUGGCGACCGGCGCACGGGUGCGUAACGCGUAUGGAACCUACCCACCGCAGGGGGAUAACCCGCCGAAAGGCGGACUAAUACCCCAUGGUUCCCCGACCCUGCCUGGGGUUGGGGGUAAAGCCUACGGGCGGCGGUGGAUGGCCCUGCGUGCCAUUAGCUGGCUGGUGGGGUAACGGCCCACCAGGGCGACGAUGGCUAGGGGUCCUGAGAGGGUGGUCCCCCACACUGGUACUGAGACACGGACCAGACUCCUACGGGAGGCAGCAGUGAGGAAUAUUGGUCAAUGGGCGCAAGCCUGAACCAGCCAUCCCGCGUGCAGGAAGACGGCCCUAUGGGUUGUAAACUGCUUUUCCAGGGAGAGAAACUUACGCACGUGUUGCGUGACUGACGGUACCCUGGGAAUAAGCAUCGGCUAACUCCGUG